rnacentral:rRNA from 1 species
GACGAACCGUGCGAACGUUAUUCGGAAUCACUGGGCUUAAAGCGCGUGUAGGCGGGCCGGCACGUCGGUCGUUGAAAUCCCCCGGCUCAACCGGGGAAGCGGCGCCGAUACGACCGGCCUCGAGGGACGUAGGGGGGGGCUGGAACUUCCGGUGGAGCGGUGAAAUGCGUUGAGAUCGGAAGGAACGCCCGUGGCGAAAGCGAGCCCCUGGACGUUUUCUGACGCUGAGACGCGAAAGCCAGGGGAGCGAACGGG